rnacentral:rRNA from 1 species
AUGGAUUAAUAGCUUGCUCUUAUGAAGUUAGCGGCGGACGGGUGAGUAACACGUGGGUAACCUGCCCAUAAGACUGGGAUAACUCCGGGAAACCGGGGCUAAUACCGGAUAACAUUUUGAACCGCAUGGUUCGAAAUUGAAAGGCGGCUUCGGCUGUCACUUAUGGAUGGACCCGCGUCGCAUUAGCUAGUUGGUGAGGUAACGGCUCACCAAGGCAACGAUGCGUAGCCGACCUGAGAGGGUGAUCGGCCACACUGGGACUGAGACACGGCCCAGACUCCUACGGGAGGCAGCAGUAGGGAAUCUUCCGCAAUGGACGAAAGUCUGACGGAGCAACGCCGCGUGAGUGAUGAAGGCUUUCGGGUCGUAAAACUCUGUUGUUAGGGAAGAACAAGUGCUAGUUGAAUAAGCUGGCACCUUGACGGUACCUAACCAGAAAGCCACGGCUAACUACGUGCCAGCAGCCGCGGUAAUACGUAGGUGGCAAGCGUUAUCCGGAAUUAUUGGGCGUAAAGCGCGCGCAGGUGGUUUCUUAAGUCUGAUGUGAAAGCCCACGGCUCAACCGUGGAGGGUCAUUGGAAACUGGGAGACUUGAGUGCAGAAGAGGAAAGUGGAAUUCCAUGUGUAGCGGUGAAAUGCGUAGAGAUAUGGAGGAACACCACUGGCGAAGGCGACUUUCUGGUCUGUAACUGACACUGAGGCGCGAAAGCGUGGGGAGCAAACA